rnacentral:rRNA from 1 species
CCUACGGGUGGCAGCAGUGAGGAAUAUUGGUCAAUGGGCGAGAGCCUGAACCAGCCAAGUCGCGUGAAGGAUGACGGCCCUACGGGUUGUAAACUUCUUUUGUCAGGGAGCAAUUGGGUCCACGCGUGGGCUUAGCGAGAGUACCUGAAGAAAAAGCAUCGGCUAACUCCGUGCCAGCAGCCGCGGUAAUACGGAGGAUGCGAGCGUUAUCCGGAUUUACUGGGUGUAAAGGGAGCGUAGACGGCAGCGCAAGUCUGAAGUGAAAUGCCGGGGCUUAACCCCGGAACUGCUUUGGAAACUGUGCAGCUAGAGUGCAGGAGAGGUAAGUGGAAUUCCUAGUGUAGCGGUGAAAUGCGUAGAUAUUAGGAGGAACACCAGUGGCGAAGGCGGCUUACUGGACUGUAACUGACGUUGAGGCUCGAAAGCGUGGGGAGCAAACAGGAUUAGAUACCCUAGUAGUC